rnacentral:lncRNA from 1 species
CUUUAAUGGGCAAUACGAUUCAUCUGGAUGGACGGCGCUUUUGCUGUGUCUGGGCAGCGGAGGACGCCUGCCCGUGGGUUCCUGGGAGGUAGGAGCCCCACACCCUUCGCGUCACGGUGAAGAAGCGCUGUAUCCCCAGUGGAAAUGUCUCCUCAGAAAUCGGAGGUGUUCCUGAAGAGCAGUGGGCGCCUCCAGCUGCACCUGCACGGCCAGGAUGACUUUCCUUCCCUCCUUUCGCUUUCCACCUGCUCUGUUGGAAAGGAUGUCACCGCCUCCGGUGCUGCCACCACUCCCCUGGCUCCACAUCGCCCUCCAAGGUCCUGUGCACCCACCUUCAGAUGCACAGCUGGCUGGAUCUCUCCGUGGUCCUGAUGUGCUGGGCUCAGGUGCUUUCGUGCAGUGAUGGGUGUCCCGUUUGUUGGAAAUUAAAGGGGAGAAAGAAAGGAAUGACUUAGACAGCCGUGACGCUGCUGUCACUCCGGUUGUACAAUCUUAAGAGUCUCUAGAGGUGCAUGUGCUUCUAGUCGGGGGACACAGCAUGUCACAAGCCUGGAAGACAAGGUCUCUGUACCAUUCACUUCAGUGUCCUGGGACCACGUGGGUCCUGGCCCAUCGUAGGACCUCAACACAUGCGCGCAGACUGAUGAAAUGCUCCAGGUGAAACACGACUCGCAAAGAUCUUACCAAGGGUGUGAAAGGAGGUAGCUCACAAUAACAUCCUAUCUUCCGUCCCUCAAGUGACUCACUCCCAGUGCCACACUGUAGUCACCGAGUCCAUUGGACAGGAUCAAGUUUGGCUCAGAGAUGGAGACAACGCUGUCACUGGAAGGAACUGCCUGCGACCACCUUAGCUUUGAUCUUGAAAGGUUCCUGAACCAGUCUUGCCUCGCUGCUCCAUUCCUUGAUCCUCGAAACAGGACAAAGGCUCACUGCUUUGUCCCCAGAAUCCAGUGAAAAGGAGAAAAUACACCCCCCCAUCACAGUU